UUACCAGCUGUCAGCUACCUAAAAAAGGAUCCUGGUGUUAUUUGUCUCUCAGAAACAGUUCAUAACUUCCCUUCAACUCAUUCAUGUCACCUAAAAGGUAAACCUGUUUCUCCAUCACCUGUUCAGCUCUGAUGAUUCAGUAAGGACAUCUCCUGUACGGUGUACAUUUUAGGACAUCGUCAGGUAUCAGAAAAAAAAUUGUCAGGUGUCAGUUGUCAAAAAAAAAAAAAGUCAGGUAUCAGAAAAAAAAUUGUCAGGUGUCAGUUGUCAAAAAAAAAAUUGUCAGGUAUCAGACAAAAAAUUGUCAGUUGUCAGUUGUCAAAAAAAAAUUGUCAGGUAUCAGAAAAAAAAUUGUCAGGUGUCAGAAAAAAAAUUGUCAGGUGUCAGUUGUCAAAAAAAAAAAAGUCAGGUAUCAGAAAAAAAAUUGUCAGGUGUCAGAAAAAAAAUUGUCAGGUGUCAGUUGUCAAAAAAAAAAAAAGUCAGGUAUCAGAAAAAAAAUUGUCAGGUGUCAGAAAAAAAAUUGUCAGGUGUCAGUUGUCAAAAAAAAAAAAGUCAGGUAUCAGAAAAAAAAUUGUCAGGUGUCAGUUGUCAAAAAAAAAAAGUCAGGUAUCAGAAAAAAAAUUGUCAGGUGUCAGAAAAAAAAUUGUCAGGUGUCAGAAAAAAAAUUGUCAGGUGUCAGAAAAAAAAUUGUCAGGUGUCAGUUGUCAAAAAAAAAAAAGUCAGGUAUCAGAAAAAAAAUUGUCAGGUGUCUGUUGUCAAAAAAAAAAAAGUCAGGUAUCAGAAAAAAAAUUGUCAGGUGUCAGAAAAAAAGUUGUCAGGUGUCAGAAAAAAAAUUGUCAGGUGUCAGACAAAAAAUUGUCAGGUGUCAGAAAAAAAGUUGUCAGGUGUCAGAAAAAAAAUUGUCAGGUGUCAGAAAAAAAGUUGUCAGGUGUCAGAAAAAAAUUUUUCUGGCAUAUUCAUAUAAAGGAUUUUUUUUUUUAAAGUAAGAAGCCUUACAUUGUUUCUUUAAUAGUCCAAUUUUUCUUUAAUAUGUUGGUUCUUGCACACCUACAAAAUUCCCAAACAUGUUGUAAGUUUAGGCUUUACAAACUGAAAGUUUCUAUUAUUUUAUUAGUCUGUACCACUUGCUUAAGUGGAAUGGGGAUUAAAAAAUGCACAGGACUAUAAAACCGGGUUGGAUCAUUAACCAAUCUGUUAAUUUUAAUGUUGGGUAUAAUAAACAAUCUCAGAAUAAAUCUGCAGUGAUUGGGUGAUCUGGGUGCUAAAAGCUUUGAGGUUUUUUUUUUUCCCCAAUUAUGAGCUGUGGUCUUUGGAAUGACAUUUUUGAUAACAUUUGUGAAAUUUUAGACAACCUGGUAAGUUCUCAUAUGUAUACCUUAUAGGUUCACCACCCUUCUAAGAAGGCAGUCCUGACAGACUGGGGCAUGGCAAACAUAAGAGACACUGUGAUGCUUCGUCAAGGGAGUAAGUUCACUGCCCAGGCUACUGGUCCAGCUGGUGGCACAUAUCUUUACAUGGCCCCUGAAUGCAUACUGAUGUUUGAAGAGGCCACAUGUCUGGAACAGACAGACAUGUGGUCCCUCGGAGCCACAUAUCUGGAGAUCCUGACGGAUUCCGCUCCGUGGAUGGUUAAAAAACAAAGAGAACUGGCUGCACUAAUGGCCACCAAAACCCCACCACAUGCCCUAUCACAUCUCAGUGACAAAAACAGUUUUCUUGGUGGUUUGGUGAGCUAUGACCCAGACUCAAGGCCUUCCGCAUCUGAUGUUGUUAAGUUUCUCAAGUCAGGCCUUGAUCUUACGAGCCGAUAUGGCUACAAGUGGUAAUGUUGCUACAGUCUGCAGUUCAAAAGUCUUUCAAUGUGAA
ensembl:lncRNA